UGGGGAAUAUUGCACAAUGGGCGCAAGCCUGAUGCAGCGACGCCGCGUGGGGGAUGACGGCCUUCGGGUUGUAAACUCCUUUCGCUAGGGACGAAGCUUUUUGUGACGGUACCUAGAUAAGAAGCACCGGCUAACUACGUGCCAGCAGCCGCGGUAAUACGUAGGGUGCGAGCGUUGUCCGGAAUUACUGGGCGUAAAGGGCUCGUAGGUGGUUUGUCGCGUCGUCUGUGAAGUUCCGGGGCUUAACUCCGGGCGUGCAGGCGAUACGGGCAUAACUUGAGUACUGUAGGGGUAACUGGAAUUCCUGGUGUAGCGGUGAAAUGCGCAGAUAUCAGGAGGAACACCGAUGGCGAAGGCAGGUUACUGGGCAGUUACUGACGCUGAGGAGCGAAAGCAUGGGUAGCGAACAGG
rnacentral:rRNA from 1 species